rnacentral:rRNA from 1 species
CCUACGGGAGGCUGCCGUAGGGAAUAUUGCUCAAUGGGGGAAACCCUGACGCAGCAACGUCGCGUGGAGGCUGAAGGUUUUAGGAUUGUAAACUCCUUUUGUUAGAGAAGUUUAUGACGGUAUCUAACGCAUAUGCACCGGCUAACUUCGUGCCAGCAGCCGCGGUAAUACGGAGGGUGCUAGCGUUACUCGGAAUCACGGGGCGUAAAGAGUGCUUAGGCGGGGUAAUAAGUCAGAUGUGAAGUCCUGUAGCUUAACUGCAGAACUGCAUUUGACACUGUUACUUUUGAGUGUAGGAGAGGUAGGUGGAAUUCUUGGUGUAGGGGUAAAAUCCGUAGAGAUCAAGAGGAAUACUGAUUGCGAAGGCGACCUGCUAAAACAUUACUGACGCUGAUGCACGAAAGCGUGGGGAGCAAACAGGAUUAGAUACCCGAGUAGUC